rnacentral:rRNA from 1 species
CCUACGGGAGGCAGCAGUGGGGAAUCUUGGACAAUGGGCGCAAGCCUGAUCCAGCAAUGCCGCGUGGGUGAAGACGGCCUGCGGGUUGUAAAGCCCUUUUAGCGGGGAAGAAAGCCCUGGGUUGAACAGACCUGGGGGGUGACGUUACCUGCGGAAUAAGCCACGGCUAACUCUGUGCCAGCAGCCGCGGUAAGACAGAGGUGGCGAGCGUUGUUCGGAAUUACUGGGCUUAAAGGGCGAGUAGGCGGUGGAGCAAGUCUGAUGUGGAAUCCUACGGCUUAACCGUAGAACUGCAUUAGAAACUGUUUUACUUGAGUCAGUGAGGGGAGGGCGGAAUUCCUGGUGUAGCGGUGAAAGCGUAGAUAUCAGGAGGAAGGCCUGUGGCGAAGGCGGCCCUCUGGCACUGUACUGACGCUGAGGCGCGAAAGCGUGGGGAGCAAACGGGAUUAGAUACCCCGGUAGUCCUAGCCAUAAACGAUGGACACUGGAUAUUCCUGCGUCUAUGUGGGAGUGUCGAAGCUAACGCGUUAAGUGUCCCGCCUGGGGAGUACGGUCGCAAGGCUGAAACUCAAAGGAAUG